rnacentral:rRNA from 1 species
GACGAACGCUGGCGGCGUGCUUAACACAUGCAAGUCGAACGGAAAGGCCCUGCUUUUGUGGGGUGCUCGAGUGGCGAACGUGUGAGUAACACGUGAGUAACCUGCCCUUGACUUUGGGAUAACUUCAGGAAACUGGGGCUAAUACCGGAUAGGAGCUCCUGCUGCAUGGUGGGGGUUGGAAAGUUUCGGCGGUUGGGGAUGGACUCGCGGCUUAUCAGCUUGUUGGUGGGGUAGUGGCUUACCAAGGCUUUGACGGGUAGCCGGCCUGGGAGGGUGACCGGCAAAAUUGGGACUGAGAUACGGCCCAGACUCAUACGGGAGGCAGCAGUGGGGAAUAUUGCACAAUGGGCGGAAGCCUGAUGCAGCAACGCCGCGUGCGGGAUGACGGCCUUCGGGUUGUAAACCGCUUUCGCCUGUGACGAAGCGUGAGUGACGGUAAUGGGUAAAGAAGCACCGGCUAACUACGUG